GGAGCUACAGGUUGAUACAUGCAAUGAAACUGGAAUGAUAUAGAGAUGGUUGGCACAGUUCCUGUGCAAGCAUGACAUGCAGAGUCAUUAAACAUUCAGUCUUUUG
rnacentral:snRNA from 1 species